GGCAGAUUAGAAUUAUUAAUCGAAUUAUAUAAGCUGGUGAUUAUGAUCAUACUCCAAAUAUAUCGGUGAUUUCUUUUCGCGAUUUUUUUCGAAGGAAAAAAACCCAGCAAUCUGAAAUAAGUUAAAAAUAAAUCACCACUUCAAUUUCGAUAUUUAUCAACGUCGAAAUCUAUCGGCGAUAAUCGAUAGAGAGACGGUAUCAUAAAAUCAUUUCUCUUGUAUCUUCACAGAAAUUUUAAAAAUUAGGAUGAUUAUCUUUUAUGAAUUCCGGCUAGAUAACAUCGAUUGACAAAAUCGUUUUUUGUCGGAAUGAGUUCGAGUGAGUGACAGAAAUUUAUCAGUGCAAAUCAGGCGAUGAGGGACAAUAAAUUCCCGGUGUUUCUGAUAAGCCGGUACUGCCAUCUCUCAGCUCAUUACCACAACAGAGUGUCGUCUCAACGUAAAGGUUCCCCUCGACGGGUCCUAAACCCGCAACAUCGGCUUCGCCACAGCGAUCCUAAAUCAGAUCGAUUGGACAGCGGAAAAACCGUGUUAUUAAUUUGUCAUAAUCCGUUAGCCUCAAACUGUUGCAAAUUGCCACAUACGCACACUCAUAAAUAUAGCCGCUCGAUAAUACAGCACGAUGACCAUGGGACAUGAACUGAUUGGGGUGGAGACAGCCUUUGCAGUUUAAUUUAUGUUGCAUCACCAACCAGUCGUACCGGUAUUCCAAACGAAUCGGACGUUUUUGACACAUUGUUCCGUCCGCACAGGAGAAAGAACCGAGAUUUUUUGGGGAAAAAAAAAAAAUUCGGUGUCGAAGAAUUAUUUGGUUGUUUGCCUGGGCACAUGAUUAUGGUAUAGGAAUCCCAUGAUAGACGGCUCGUGUGCAUGUUUGCGGAUAACACGAUCGUACGUGUAGCCCCGAUGGUGUCAAGGAUCCAGCUGACCAGGUUGACCAUCGUCCGCCAUAUUGGUAAACAGAUAUAACUCUCGGGAAAUUUUCUAGUCGACCGUGAAACUCACCAGAAAGCACCGCCAUCUUCGCGACCCAUCACAUGAAUCGCAGAUGGCGCUGCCCAUCGAUUCCCCAAUUGAACCAUGGCUUCCGUCACUCACUUCCGUUGCAUUAACACUCAUCCGGAAAAAUCAGAGCAACCAGAAAGGAAGGCGAUCACUCAGCAGACGCAGUCAGUUAAUUAGUCCGGAUCGAAGCCCACCUAUUUGACAAAUGAACGGUCAAUAUUUGAUGUAAGGAUGUCACCCUAGAGAACCUUUCAUGUUAUCGCCAAUCCACUCGAUUUUCUUGGUGAACGGAGUGGAGACUAACGAAACGUCCUGCGGUUUUAAAUCCUGUGUGUGUGUUGAUGUCGGGCCGCCCAUCGUCCUGGGGUGUGCACGUGUUUAGUCAAACAUCUCGGACGCCUGUUUGUACGGGCACCAAGCCCUCCGAACCGAGAUAUCCGAUGAUUAAUGGCCCUCCUUCCGGGUUUAUUAACGACACGCCUGUCCACCUAGCGGCACAAUAUCCGUGUCUUUCCGUCACGGCGGAUUUUGCCUCUUCUGUUGCCGCCCUGAACCCUUCUCCAUACCGCCAAAUCCCAUUUUUUCGCUAAAUAAAUCCAUUGGACUUUUCCCAAAACGUCCGUUUUCUCACGCCAUUAAUUAUGUUCCUCCUUCAAUUUUAACUAGACCCGCAUUUGGGGCGCCAUUUGUGCGCCUAUAAUCAUCAUAUGGCGGUCGCAAAAAAAUAUAAAUUCAAUAUAAUAUUCAUAUAUUCUUUUUCAUUUUAUAUAU